rnacentral:rRNA from 1 species
CCUACGGGGGGCAGCAGUGAGGAAUAUUGGUCAAUGGUCGGGAGACUGAACCAGCCAAGCCGCGUGAGGGAUGAAGGUACAGAGUAUCGUAAACCUCUUUUGUCAGGGAACAAAGGCGGGGACGUGUCCCCGGAUGAGUGUACCUGAAGAAAAAGCAUCGGCUAACUCCGUGCCAGCAGCCGCGGUAAUACGGAGGAUGAGAGCGUUAUCCGGAUUUAUUGGGUUUAAAGGGUGCGCAGGCGGUCUGUUAAGUCAGCGGUAAAAGCCCGGGGCUCAACCCCGGCGCGCCGUUGAAACUGGCAGUCUCGAGUUGGAGAGAAGUAUGCGGAAGGCGCGGUGUAGCGGUGAAAUGCAUAGAUAUCGCGCAGAACUCCGAUUGCGAAGGCAGCAUGCCGGCUCCACACUGACGCUGAGGCACGAAAGCGUGGGUAUCGAACAGGAUUAGAUACCCGUGUAGUC